CCUANGGGAGGCAGCAGUGGGGAAUUUUGGACAAUGGGGGAAACCCUGAUCCAGCAACGCCGCGUGAGUGAUGAAGGCCUUCGGGUCGUAAAGCUCUGUCAAGUGGAACGAUGGGUUUCAAAGCUAAUAUCUUUGAAAUUUGACGGUACCACUGGAGGAAGUCACGGCUAACUACGUGCCAGCAGCCGCGGUAAUACGUAGGUGGCAAGCAUUGUUCGGAUUUACUAGGCGUAAAGGGAGCGUAGGUGGCUUUGUAAGUUGGAAGUGAAAUUCCACAGCUUAACUGUGGAACUGCUUCCAAGACUGCUUAGCUUGAGUAUAGGAGAGGGAAAUGGAAUUCCUGGUGUAGCGGUGAAAUGCGUAGAUAUCAGGAAGAACACCGGUGGCGAAGGCGAUUUCCUGGCCUAACACUGACACUGAGGCUCGAAAGCUAGGGGAGCAAACAGGAUUAGAUACCCCGNUANUC
rnacentral:rRNA from 1 species